AAUGAACGCUGGCGGCGUGCCUAACACAUGCAAGUCGUACGAGAAAUCUCGGGCUUGCUCGAGAGAGUAAAGUGGCGUACGGGUGAGUAACACGUAGGUAAUCUACCUCCGGGUCAGGGAUAACCCGCCGAAAGGCGGGCUAAUACCUGGUAAUACCCUGUCUGCGUGAGCAGGCGGGAUCAAAGGUGGCCUCUGCAUGCAAGCUACUGCUCGGAGAUGAGCCUGCGGACCAUUAGCUAGUUGGUAGGGUAAUGGCCUACCAAGGCGACGAUGGUUAGCUGGUCUGAGAGGACGGCCAGCCACACUGGAACUGGAACACGGUCCAGACUCCUACGGGUGGCAG
rnacentral:rRNA from 1 species